GAGGUUCCUGAUGUGGGUCGUCGGAUCGAAGCUUUGACCAAGAGACGCCCGGUGCGACACUCUGGUUCAACGCAUGUGCCUCGUGGCUAAUUUAUUGUGCUGUAUUCCGCGACAUCCCCUAAUCCUUGUGCGCCCCGGCGAGACAAAAUUGUUUCUACUUGAAAAUGUUGGCGGCAUCAAUUGAAAUCGAGUCGAUUCGGACCGGCCCGGACCGGACCGGACCGGACGACCAGAUGUUCCUGAGAGAUGGGAGGAACGGUGGGGCAGUCCAUCAAUCGAGUACGGAGGCAGGAUUUGAGUAGGAUUGGGCUCACUUCCAAGCCAAGACAGGUUU